CUUAAUGGCUCGCUGGCCUUACUUCUCACACCACUCCCUCUGGCAAAAUGCCAGGCGCCAUCUUGACUUGUUUAGGACCCUAACAGAGGGGAAAGGAGAUCCCCGAGGACGUGGGGAAAGGGAGAUCCCGGAGGACCGAGGGGAAACGAGAUCCCCGAGGACGGAGGGGAAGGAGAUCCCCCAGGACGGAGGGGAGAGGAGAUCCCCCAGGACGGAGGGGAAAGGGAGAUCCGGGAGGACGGAGGGGAGAGGGAGAUCCCCGAGGACGGAGGGGAAGGAGAUCCCUGCCUGUGGCAGAACUGUCGAAGACCGAAGCUGCGGUCGGUGUCCUCCACCGCGAUGAGCGAACUCGGGGACGUGGCUCUAGGGGAGGGCCCGAGCCUCUGCGCGGGGCGAGGUAGGUAAGUCACCGCAGGAUGCGGGCGUGGAUCCCGCCGCCUCCCGCACGCCAAGCGCCAAGCGAGCGCCCUAGGGUCUGCGCCGCGCCCGCCCUGCCCCUGCCCUUCUCGGUGUCCGCAGCCACCUGGGGUCUCCGCCCUUCGGGGACACCCGACGGCCUCAGCAAGCCGGGCAGCAUUGCGCAAUGAGAGAAAACAUACAACCCUUGACCUUCUGAGUUUGGCUUAUUUCAAACUCGAGCUCCAUCCAUUUUCUUGUAAUGAUUUCGUUUUCUCUCUGCAGUGAGCUGACUUUAGCGCUUCGGGAGGACGGAGAGCAGUGUAUAGCUGGCCACAUGUGCUUUCAUGCCGGUAAACCCAGACUCUCUGAUAAAGAAAAGAGGUGCUCACUUAGGAGGGUAGGAUAUCAGCGAGAAUCGGGGAGAAUUCGCCCGAUAUUAAUUAUAAAUAGAAGAGGAGGAUAUGGGGUCUUAUUAGUGUUUUCGUUUUGAGAUAAAUAUGCAGAGAGCUUGAUGACUUUAGGUAUACCGCCCAAAGAAUUUUACAUAUUCGUAGACCCAUGAAACCCCAUAUCAGGAUCAUUACAUAGACUAUAGGCUAUUUUCAGUAUCUGAGAACGUUGUUUUUAAACGUGUUCAUACUUUUUAUAUAGGCAAAGCAGAAAUCAUCAGGGCACAAAUUAUUUUAAGUACCCUAAACAGUCACCCCCCCGUGUAUCCUUCGAUAGCUCAGUUGGUAGAGCGGAGGACUGUAGGGGAUCUGUAAACAGUCAUCCUUAGGUCGCUGGUUCGAGUCCGGCUCGGAGGAUUAGAGUUUUGAUCUAGACAAAACACACCUAAACCUGUUUGUACGAUUGUGAGUAGGUUCUCCUGCUUAUGUGUCUAAGCCAUGUCCAGAAUGAACUAGGAACUCAGUCCCUUCUGGAAGCGGUAGAUGAGUAGGCCUAAGUAGUCUUCCUACCAAGUCUGCUCUCACCUCGGGUCUGGAGGGUGCACCCCGCCGACUGGUGACCCCACGCAGGAUCCUACGACGAGGGGGUUAGUUUUUAUAAGGAUUUAUAAUUCUUGUUAGGAUUUAUAAGCAGCGGCCUUUGGGUUCUCAGUCACCUUGGUACUUUCUCAAGAAUUUUAAGGCGACAUUUCGAACGGUCACUGGAGCAAAACUUCAUCACCCAGACGCAGCCCCAUCCGUCCAGUCCCUUUUGCACACACACCCACCGCCCCCACCGGAUCCUUCCGCAAACCCGAGACGUGUCCCCAGUUCCCCGCGUUCUGUUUGGGAAAGGUCGGUGUGCAGGGCGAAAAGGGGCAGCACCCCUCAAUCCACCCAGAUGCCCACGCCCAGGAGUGGCGACAAGUGAGUGGCGCGUGGACAGGAGCUGAGUGUCUUGGGAGUGCGGCUGGCGCCUGUGCAGGGAGAUGUCUCGCGAGCUCUGUAACCGCAGGCACUUGCUACCCGCCCGUCACUCGGGGCUUACGCCCGUCCAGGCUCCGGGUGACCAAAGGCAUCUGCUCACAGCCCCUCGGGGACCCGCGGCGGUACAGGGCUGGCGCGGAGGGCGCCCCCUGGGGGACGGUCCGCGCCCGCCGGGCAGCAGGCUGGGUGUGCGGCCGGAUUCGCCCGCGGGACUCGAGGGGACGCGGGAUGCCAGCCCCUGGUCCCUCUGCGCCGCGCGCCCUCGUCCCGGCGACGUGCAUUUCUAGAAGACCCUCACCAGGCGGUGUGUUCUUGCCUCCCACGGAGAGGAGCCGGCUGAAAAACUCAUGAAAUAUUAGUUGUGCGCUGCAGACUCACUGAACAGGAUCUUUUGAAAAUGUAUUUUUCCAAGACGUUAGUUAUGAAGAACUUUAAUGAGUGAGGAUCUUUUGUAGAUAAAUUAAGAAUACAGUGUUUCCACAAAUUUCCUAACUCAUGAACUUCAUAAAAGACAAGUCUGUUCAUAUGGCUUCCUGUUUUCCCCGUCAGCGUUCAGGAGCCAGGAAGCUAAACGUCACCACUGGUGCGUGUUAGCAAAGCAAAGCUGACAGUCGUCUUCUAAAGGGAAUAUUUACACUUCUCUUAUAGGUGAAGAGCGUGCUGUGUUUGCUGGUUUUGCCCCAUUAUAACUGGGCAAUAUAGCAUGAGAUACCCAAUUCCUAAACGACACAAAAAACACCUCUCAUGUUUGGUGUCUAUAACUUGUGUCGAACCCUAAUUUUCCUUGUUUUUCAGAAAGCUGCAUCAGUUUCCCAAAUAAAUUGGGAAGUACUGUGCUUCAAGAUGGUGAGUCUUGAACCUAGCUGUCUAUUUUUAUGAAAACCUUACUAUAACCAUUCGGUUUCAGCAGCGGAAGGAGGCUGCUAAGCAGACGGAAGAGCAGGUGAAGUGCUAAGGGUGGUCCAAUCUAUUACACUCAAGGGAGCGACUUGGACAAUUGGUGGCAAUUUAAGAGUUACAUGAAAUACUUAUGCAAUAAAAAGCAUAAAUCUUGAAGUUCGUGGGAAUAAGUUUUUCGUGUUCUUGUAUAAUCACUAGUGCAGAUCAUUUUUAGAACAUCUCUAAUACCUUCAACAACUUCCUCCUGUUCAUGUGUUUUCAAGGUGGAUUUGAAUAGCCAAAAAUUAAACCAUGAAUGCAAUAUUUAAACUAUACUGCAGGAGGUCACAGCAUG
rnacentral:tRNA from 1 species